CCUACGGGUGUCUGCAGUGGGGAAUAUUGCACAAUGGGGGAAACCCUGAUGCAGCGACGCCGCGUGAGUGAAGAAGUAUUUCGGUAUGUAAAGCUCUAUCAGCAGGGAAGAUAAUGACGGUACCUGACUAAGCAGCCCCGGCUAACUACGUGACAGCAGCCGCGGUCAUACGUAGGGGGCAAGCGUUAUCCGGAUUUACUGGGGGUAACGUGUGCGUAGGUGGCAGGGCAAGUCAGAUGUGAAAGCCCGGGGCUCAACCCCGGAACUGCAAUUGAAACUGGCCAGCUGGAGUGCAGGAGAGGUAAGCGGAAUUCCAAGUGUAGCGGUGAAAUGCGUAGAUAUUAGGAGGAACACCAGUGGCGAAGGCGGCUUACUGGACGGUAACUGACACUGAGGUACGAAAGCGUGGGGAGCAAACAGGAUUAGAUACCCCAGUAGUC
rnacentral:rRNA from 1 species